AUGAGCAGGCUUGAAAGCUCAAAAACAGCAGAAUAUCUCCACCAAGAUACGUCUUUAGAUCCUGCUCUCAACCCGUCCUUGGACUCCGAUCACGGUCUCAUUACCCUGGCUUUCCCCUCCACUACUUGGUCUUCCUGCCCAAGUCCACAGAGGACCACUCCCCGCUCAGGGUCAGGACCAAAGCUGACCCCUUCUGCAUCAGUGACUCAGCUGGAAUCCCAUCGCUGGUCUGUCCUGCCUCCUAUCUCCCCUGUCAGAGGACGCUGUGGCACAGCAGCAUCACGCUACUCGGAGCUCAGCUGCAGUCAGUCUCAUGUGUUUGAUGAACUGGAGGCCAUUGCCCCUCGGUCAGCUUCCUGUCCGUCUCUGGACCAGACAUCAGACUCAUCAGGUUCUCCUUCCCCUGAUACAGAGCUGUCUCCUGGCCUGGCAGCGCUAACUGUGGGCUGUGACUCAGGGAAUCUGGGCUCCUUGUCCCGGGUCCAGCUGCUCCUACUGGACCGACUGGAGCCUGAGGCGCCACCGAGUCCCUUCGGUCAGGAAGAAGAGCUGUCGCUGAUGCAGGACUGGUCAGAUCUGAGGAUGCAGUAUGAUCCAGGUUUGACUUCAGCAGGUGUUUUGAGGCCCCUCACAGCUGGCAGCAUCUCUGAAAGGUGUGACUCUCCGGGGAAAGUCCAUGAAAACAAAUCGGAUCAGUCUGAAGGAGGUUCAGGGUCACCGUCUUCAUGGAUCAUAGACCAGAGUCCCUCAUACGACAUGUUCAGAUCCGCCUAUUCCCCCUGCUCCAGCACAGAUGAAAGGGGCCCCACCGAGGAGGAGUCCAAUUAUCCAGGAUGGAGGGACCGAGUGGAGUCCUCGGCUGGAGGAAGGAGGCCUGAGAGUGUUGACCACAGCACUGAAGAGAAGGAGAGAAGGAUGGAGGAGAGGAAAACAAAGGUGCUGCACAUACUUACCAAACUGCAGGACACGCCUCGUCAGCCAAAUGGCAACAAAGGUCGCUCCAACUUUGAGGACUGAGUUUGGCCAGGAGUUCUCCAGUUUCCCUCAAGUGCCUAAUUUCUGGCAUCCAAGCCUUUGUGAGAGUGCUGGGGCCGACGGGUCCGACAAUAAGCAUCCACACCUAAGGUCAAGGCUGAGGGGCCGGCCCUCUGCAGAGGUCAGUCAGGUCAGAGUUCUCCCGUGAGUGCUGGCACCCAUGAAUGGGACUGAUUGGACAGGUUUGUUCAGACGGUAAUCAAGCAGGAUGAAGAACCCCCGGCAGCUGGCCUCACUAUUCUGCAGCAAGGUUAUUAGAGAUGAAAAGCUUUUGUUGUGUUACAGGAGUGUAGACUUCGGUUUAUGUGUGCGUGCUAUUGUAAUUUAGAGCUUUAUGUAUAUGACAGUUUUGCACAAUGAUUGGGUUGUCUUUGCUUCCUUAAGGGGCAUUUGUAGUGUGAGGAUUCAUUAAGGUUAAGGCCAAAGUUAUUUCUUUCCACUUUUACCAACUUUCUCCAAAAUAUGUACAGAUUUUCCAAAAGAACAAAUUGCUUUGAACUGAUUUUUAAGUGUACAGUAAACAAGUUGUGGUUAGGAAAGCUCAGAAAAUGUUCCUAGUAAUAAAAUAAAAACAUUAAACUUCCGAUUAUGUAUCAGAAUCCCUCUAACGCUACAUUUAUAUCAGCUUUUUUAAAAAUUAUUUUUCAUUUAUUAUCCACUUUUAGAUACUCGUCUACUCCUACGUACCUGCCUCAUGAAAUAGACGAGAACAUUUUUGUGUCUUUUAUCCAAUUUUAAGCCAGCAGGAAGAUAUAAAGGUAUACAUUUUAAUUUGUCCAAUAUUUUAAUUUAAG
ensembl:lncRNA